AUCCAGCCGAAGAGUCCCAAAUAGGACAAAACGAACGUCCUGGAU
rfam:Schistosoma margrebowiei strain Zambia genome assembly, scaffold: SMRZ_contig0006294